ACCCCACACGCAAUCUCUCCUCUCCUCGUUUCUCUCCUCCGCCUCUUCCCCGUGGGGGGCCUUGCGGCUGCAGCGGGCUGAGAGUCAAGGGGGCGAGCAGGAUUGGGGGCCAACUGAUUCUUCGCCGGAUCUGGAGCCCAGAGGCGCCGCCGGACCGGCCUGGUGUUGACGGGGCGAUGAAGUGGUCGGAGGCGCUGGAUCGGCAGCCAAUAUGUCUGCAACGACGGCAAGACGGCGGAGAUCGGGCACGACCGGUGCUAAAGGAAUUGGCAUCGUCAGUUGAUAAUUAAGUUUGCCUCGUUAUUUAAUCUGCUGGGCAUAUUGACUCUGUGGCUAAGGCUCCAGCUUGGAAUAAUUCCAAUUUCAAACCUGGCUUCUAAUGCCCUACAAGCUAAGGUCAAACAACUUCUCGAAAAGCUAGAAUGAAGUGUAGCGAUUGCCUGAUGCAUCAGUUAAAGUUCAAACGCCAAUCACAAAACUAAGGAAAAUUUGUCCAAACAACCAAGUGGCUCCAAUGCUGAAGCUGCAAGUUUCACUCAGGUAUAGAGAUGUAUGAGGGUUUAGUACUAGCAUACUAGGUUAACUGAGGUUCAUGUAUGCUCUUUUUGUGUGUUCUACAAGUGCCGAUUUUAGUGGUGGAUUCACCUCUUGUUUUAUUUAUAUUUAUUUUUGAUUUUAGUGCUUGACCUUAGACGGCUGGAGCAAAAUGUGAGAGAUGGGCCAUCUGAUACUUACCAACUGGCCAAAUGGCGUAUUCUUAAUAAACUGCAUGACAGAAAUGAAACGAUGUACUACAAGGUGUGGAACUCCACAGCUCACACAUUCUUUUAGGCGCAAACAUAUUUCUGUUGAUGAUGUUUCUCUCAUUAUAUGGUUGUGCAACCACUUUGUUAACUCUAUUGUAUUGUAGUCUCAGAUGUGGGCGCCUUUUCAAAGUGGUUAGCUUAUUUAACCUUAUUUUGAUUUUUAAUAGGUCUGAAUAGAUAAUAUUGAGGAGUAUACACCUAUUGUUUACACACCGACUGUUGGCGCUAUUUGCCAAAAUUACAGGGGCGUGUUUAGACGGCCUCGGGGAAUGUAUUUUUGUGCAGAGGAUCAUGGUGAAAUGAUGUUCAUGGUGUACAACUGGCCAGCUGAUUAGCUAUGCAUUGGUUCUUGUCCAUUCAUUGAUUUGGUAUUCUGUAGUUCAACUCUUCAAGUGUGUCUUAAAGGGCGUCGUUCUUGCCUUCGAGCUGUCUGUCACGCCGUCGCCAUCACCUAUUCCCUCGCCACGCGGGACACAGAGAUGGGUGAGGACGCCAAUAGGAAGCUUCGUUGCCGUCGUUCUCGCCAUCGAGCCGCCAUUGCCAUCACCUAGCCCCUCGCCGCGCGGGACGCAGAGAUGGGCGAGGACACCGGGUUGCUGGUGCAGGUACUAACAUGACCAACGAGGAGGUCGUUAUUAAGCUUGUGAGUUGAUGUGACCAUUCUCUUGCAUUUCAGCAUAGUUGUCAGGAUCUUUGACAGAAUCUUUGACAUAAUAGAAUUUUACUGGAGUUCGAGGCUAUAUUAUUGAUGAGGUAUCCUGGAGAGCUGCAAGCUGCCUUUCUUGUUUUGAUUCAUGUUCCUGUUGUUUUCUCCUUGGUGAGUGUAUUAUGUGGGUAGUGUAACCAUCAUGAUCUCUGAGGCUAUGUAUAGAGUUGCAUUAUUGUUUUCUUAAAAAUAGACCCUCCAAAUUCAUGUUCUCUUAUAACUUAUCCUGUAAAUCUUCUCUGUAUUUUAAUGAAGUUUGACGUCACGCCAUUGGA
rnacentral:rRNA from 1 species